UCGGGAGGCAGCAGUGGGGAAUAUUGGACAAUGGGGGAAACCCUGAUCCAGCAAUGCCGCGUGAGUGAAGAAGGCCUUAGGGUUGUAAAGCUCUUUCGCCCGUGACGAUGAUGACGGUAACGGGAGAAGAAGCCCCGGCUAAUUCCGUGCCAGCAGCCGCGGUAAUACGGAAGGGGCUAGCGUUGUUCGGAUUUACUGGGCGUAAAGCGCAUGUAGGCGGCGGAUCAAGUGUUGCGUGAAAGGCCUGGGCUCAACCUGGGAACUGCGCUUCAAACUGGUUCGCUCGAGUUC
rnacentral:rRNA from 1 species